AGCAGACGCGGUAAUUCCAGCUCCAAUAGCGUAUAUUUAAGUUGUUGCAGGGAAUCUGGCUGUUACUUUGAAAAAUUAGAGUGUUUAAAGCAGGCUAACGCUUGAAUACAUUAGCAUGAAUAAUGAAAUAGGACGUUCGAUCCUAUUUUGUUGGUUUCUAGGAUUGACGUAAUGAUUAUAGGGAUAGUUGGGGCAUUAGUAUUCAAUUGUCAGAGGUGAAAUUCUUGGAUUUAUUGAGACUAACUACUGCGAAAGCAUUU
rnacentral:rRNA from 1 species